AUCCAAAGGCCAAGAAUACAACCAACUUUAAGAAGAAGAAGGAAGGCAUAAUCUGCUAUGUGUGUGGUGAGCCUGGCCACAAGGCCAAUAAAUGCCACAACAGGAAGGGCAAGAAGGGUGGGCAGCAGAACGGACAGAACACUGUCAACGUGGUUGUUAGCGAGCCUAGUACUGCGGGGUAUGAUUCGAACCCUGCUGUUUUAAUGGCGUGUCAAUCCGCUGAAUGGUUGGUUGACACGGGAGCUAACAUUCAUGUAUGUGCUGACCUUAAUUUAUUUUCCUCUUGUGAGGCUACAAGCGGUUCCCCCAUCUUGAUGGGAAAUGGCUCAGGUGCUGCUGUUCUGGGAGUAGGG
rnacentral:lncRNA from 1 species